CCCUUAGAUGUUCUGGGCUGCACGCGCGCUACACUGAUGCGUUCAACGAGUGUAUCACCUUGCCCGAUAGGGUUGGGUAAUCUUUUGAACACGCAUCGUGAUGGGGAUAGAUUAUUGCAAUUAUUAAUCUUCAACGAGGAAUGCCUAGUAGGCGCAAGUCAUCAGCUUGCGUCGAUUACGUCCCUGCCCUUUGUACACACCGCCCGUCGCUCCUACCGAUUGGGUGUGCUGGUGAAAUGUUCGGAUCGGCCGUUUGUCGCGGUUUCCGCGUCAUGUGGCUGAGAAGUUCAUUAAACCCACCCACCUAGAGGAAGGAGAAGUCGUAACA
rnacentral:rRNA from 1 species